CCUACGGGGGGCAGCAGUGGGGGAUAUUGCACAAUGGGGGAAACCCUGAUGCAGCGACGCCGCGUGAGUGAAGAAGUAUUUCGGUAUGUAAAGCUCUAUCAGCAGGGAAGAAAAAAGACGGUACCUGACUAAGACGCCCCGGCUAACUACGUGCCAGCAGCCGCGGUAAAACGUAGGGGGCAAGCGUGAUCCGGAUUUACUGGGUGGAAAGGGAGCGUAGACGGGAAUACUAGUCGGAAGUGAAAUCCCCGGGGUCAACCUGGGAAUUGCUUUGGAAACUGUAUGGCUGGAGUGCUGGAGAGGCAAGCGGAAUUCCUAGUGUAGCGGUGAAAUGCGUAGAUAUUAGGAGGAACACCAGUGGCGAAGGCGGCUUACUGGACAGUAACUGACGUUGAGGCUCGAAAGCGUGGGGAGCAAACAGGAUUAGAUACCCUUGUAGUC
rnacentral:rRNA from 1 species